rnacentral:rRNA from 1 species
GACGAACGCUGGCGGCGUGCUUAACACAUGCAAGUCGAGCGGUAAGGCCCUUUCGGGGGUACGACGAGCGGCGAACGGGUGAGUAACACGUGGGUGACCUGCCCUUAGCUCUGGGAUAAGCCUGGGAAACUGGGUCUAAUACCGGAUAUGACUCCAUGACGCAUGUUGUGGGGUGGAAAGCCUUGUGCGGCUAGGGAUGGGCCCGCGGCCUAUCAGCUUGUUGGUGGGGUGAUGGCCUACCAAGGCGACGACGGGUAGCCGGCCUGAGAGGGCGACCGGCCACACUGGGACUGAGACACGGCCCAGACUCCUACGGGAGGCAGCAGUGGGGAAUCUUGCGCAAUGGGCGAAAGCCUGACGCAGCGACG